GGCGUAGUGGCAGAGUGGUCUAAUGCGCAAGACUCGAAUCAACUAUGGAUGUUACAUCCAGGUUCGCAAUCUUGUUCCUUCGGGAGCGUCUGUUCGAAUCAGGCCUACGUCG